rnacentral:tRNA from 1 species
GGGCGGUUAGCUCAGCUGGUUAGAGCGUUCGCUUGACGUGCGAAAGGUCACAGAUUCGAAUUCUGUAUCGCCCA